AUGCCACAAGGCCCCGCCACCGCAGUUUCGACUCCACAACAACAAACAUACCGAGGCAAUACCGCGAACACGCUGGAGAAGAGCCGACUAUCGCAACCAUUGCCACGUCGCCGACAUCGCUCCCACCAUCAUCGUUGCCACAGAAGCCUGGUCGCCACAGUGAUCCUCUUGGGGCCGCCGCCCCGACAUCCACCGCUCCGUCGCGCCCAGCGCACUGUCGCCGCCCCGACAUACCACUGCUCCCCUGGAGCAGCAACGCCGCACAGCCCAGUUGCCCGCAGCCCACGCUGCUCAGGGAAACCGCUCGCAGACCACGAACGUCGCACCACAUCCGGGGCCGCCGCCCCGACAUAA
rnacentral:rRNA from 1 species